GGGGGAUUAGUAUAAUUUGGUAAUACGAUAACAUUGCAUACUAUAAUCCUGGGUUCGAAUCCCAGAUCCUCUA
rnacentral:tRNA from 1 species